GCAAGUCGAACGAACUUAGGCCUAGCUUGCUAGGAACGGUUAGUGGCAAACGGGUGAGUAACGCGUGGGAACCUACCUUUUAGUACGGAAUAGUCCCGGGAAACUGGGUUUAAUACCGUAUACGCUCUACGGAGGAAAGAUUUAUCGCUAAAAGAUGGGCCCGCGUUAGAUUAGCUUGUUGGUGAGGUAAUGGCUCACCAAGGCAACGAUCUAUAGCUGGUUUGAGAGGAUGAUC
rnacentral:rRNA from 1 species